rnacentral:rRNA from 1 species
UAGGGCUACACACGUGCUACAAUGGCGCAUACAAAGAGAAGCGACCUCGCGAGAGCAAGCGGACCUCACAAAGUGCGUCGUAGUCCGGAUCGGAGUCUGCAACUCGACUCCGUGAAGUCGGAAUCGCUAGUAAUCGUGGAUCAGAAUGCCACGGUGAAUACGUU